rnacentral:lncRNA from 1 species
UCGUUUUUCAUGGUGGAAAUUGGUGAAUCGUCACUCCCCUACCUUUAAAUAUUUCAUAACUUGGAUUACGGCAUCCCUCUUCCAAGUUAUGAAGUAUUGUGUUGGGUCCUAGCAUUAAUAUUACAUUUGGGUGUCUUAUUAAGGAAUAUUUAUCUAAUCUAAACAUGUCUUUCUUCUUUUCUGAUGUCUUCCAAUAAUGCUUCUGGCUCAAACCCUACCGGCUCCUUCUCUCUCAUGAAACUUUCUGGGAGAGUCAUCUUUGAUGGUUCCAACUUUAAUGAUUGGAUCAGGAACAUCAGGAUGGUCACACGUUACGAGGAAAAGGAAUAUGUCCUCCACAAGGAGCUGAAGGAAAUUGAUGAGUCUACUGCUACUCCACAGGAGAUCGCUGACUUUAGGGCACAUGAGAGAGAUGCCACCAAGGUAGCAUGUAUCAUGUUGGCCACAAUGACAGCUGAACUCCAAAAGUCCUAUGAGGACUUUUACCCUUUUGAGAUGCACAUGGACCUGAUGCAAAGAUACCAUCAGAGUGCUCGUCAAGAGAGGUAUGAAAUCAUCUCUUCCAUGAUAACAACCCGAAUGAAGGAUGGUGAACCCAUCACGGCCCACAUGCAGAAAAUGCAAAGGUUUGUGGACCGUUUGCUGAAGUUGAAUGUGAACUUCCCUGAGGAGUUGUCUAUUGAAAUCCUUACCUACUUGUUAUGAUCAUUUCUGAAUGACCUAUCAUAUGAACACCAAGGUGGCAUGUAUCAUGUUGGCCACAAUGACAGCUGAACUCCAAAAGUCCUAUGAGGACUUUUACCCUUUUAAGAUGCACAUGGACCUGAUGCAAAGAUACCAUCAGAGUGCUCGUCAAGAG